rfam:TPA: Bos taurus chromosome 17, whole genome shotgun sequence.
UAGCUCAGUCAGCAAAGAAUCUGCCUGCAAUGCAGGAGACCCAGGUUCGAUUCCUGG